GUUCGAUGUUUUGAGAGCAAAUAUUCAAAGAGGAAAGGAUUUUUAUUCAAAUUUUCUACUUAUAAAGUUCCAAAGACCUAAUAAAAUACAUGGAAUUUGUUUUCAAAGGUAUGUCUAUUGUGUAUUUACUCAUUUGUAUGCGGAUAGUUACUUGAUAUACUGUAUAGUUAUGUUUUUAAAUCGAAGGCUUGUAUUUGUAUUAAUACUUUUUUACCGAAGGCAUCCAAACGUUCAGUUGUAAAUUUUCGAUUAAUUUCUAUUAGCAGAAGUGUAUAAAUCUAAUCUACACUCUACUUAUCUGUGUUUUAAGAAAAUCGUAUAGCUUAUUUGUGUGAUAUACGUGUAUGCUGUAUUUCCUGUGAAAUAUUUAACCGUUUAUAGUUGGCGUGCAUUGUAUACUUACAAUUAAUCACAUAAAUACAAUGUGAUUUGUUUGAAGUCAAAUUAAUAGCAUAUAGAUAGCAUUGUAAUAGCCCAUCUCCCAAUAUUACCCUAUGUAUGGCAUGUGCUUGCUAUGGUAUUAAACCCUCCUAUCGGUCACCCUAAAACAUGUGUGAAGAGCUGCUUAUAUGGUCAAGAAAGCCAGCCCAGGUAGCCCGGCUAUACUGUAGCUUGCUUUCCCUGGAUGAAUGUCUGUUUACAUGAGCCUCUUUAGAUGGGCAGGCUCACCAAAUCGAAUCAACCAGACUGAGUUUUAUAAUAGAAGCACAUCUUCCAAUACUGUAACCAACAUCACACUUUUGCAGACAGUUUCGAAAUGUAACUGAUAAAAACAAUUACCGAGAUAUUUUAACUCUUUAAGUGGCAAUGUGCCCUACUUUAUUAUUUUACUUUGCCUAACAUCACACAAUUUUACUUGUCAGGAGGAGAAUCUGCCCCUCAAUGGGUUAAUCAGAUUAUCUGCCCUUAAAUUAAAGAUGCCCAGAUUUUUGCGGCAAGGCAAGUUGCCCAAUCGGGCAAGCAAGAUAAAACGUUUACUUGCCCAUCAUGAAUUUCACUUGUCUCGGGCAAUUCGUGGGCAAGUGUUAAGUUACACCUCUGCUUGCUUUGUACACUAGAAAACAACCAAAAAUAGCAAAUUCAUUGUCACUCAGUAAUUUGCUUCUGUUAUAUAUCAACCUUAUAUAUUUUUUCUUAAUAGUGGUUGUAUUUAAUAUGGAUUCAUUAUAUUCUGUGAUGCUGAAUGAAACGUUAUCGAAGCAUCCCAGGAGAAGGCAAGUCAUCUAAACAAGUGGCAAUAUAUAUAAUCAUUAAUGGCAUUCUAAAUACUUCAUGGUCUAUUUGGAAAAUGUUAUUCUUUUGCUGGAGAGCAUGUUUACGGAUUACCAAACCAUGCAAGGAAAGGACUAGGAGGUGCCGACUGGUGGUAUAGUACAGGUUGUUUUGUACUAAAAUUUAACUAAUGGACUUGCACGACAUUAGACAUAUAUAUAUGCUUGAUUGAGCACUGACACUACUUGCAGUGUAUGUUACUUGUAGUUCAAGAUUGAACAGAAUGUUUAACCCUUUAAGUGGCAAUCUGCUCUACUUUAUUAUUUUAUUAUUUUGUGUCCCAUGCAAGGUAUGCUGCCACUCGAUGGUUAAAGUCUUUCUGUAGAUGGACAUUUUGAACAAUAACUAUAUAAUUAAUAGCUAUUGUGCCGGGAAUGAAACCCCUGUCAUUCGGAUCA